UACCGGACCCCCAUCAUUGGAGCUCACUUGCAGGAGGAGACUUCCACAAGUCUCUGAAGCUAUCCCCCCUAUUUCUUGAGGACACUCACCAGUGUGCCUGGACAGUAGGGACCUACGACAACAGGUCCCAGGACCACUGACCCUCUGGGUCAAGUCCACUUCUGGCCCUGCCCCACACCCAUUGGAGCUCCCCUGCUGGAGAAUUCUCCAAAGCCUCCCAAGUUACUCCCCCUGUUACUUGAGGAGGCAAAUAGGUGUGCUGAGCCAGUAAGGACCUAGGCCAUCAGGUCCUAGGACCUCUGACCCUCUGGGUCAAGUCCAUUACCGGACCCCCACCAUUGGAGCUCACUUGCAGGAGGAGACUUCCACAAGUCUCUGAAGCUAUCCCCCCUAUUUCUUGAGGACACUCACCAGUGUGCCUGGACAGUAGGGACCUACGACAACAGGUCCCAGGACCACUGACCCCCUGGGUCAAGUCCACUUCUGGCCCUGCCCCACACCCAUUGGAGCUCCCCUGCUGGAGAAUUCUCCAAAGCCUCCCAAGUUACUCCCCCUGUUACUUGAGGAGGCGCAUUGGUGUGCUGAGCCAGUAAGGACCUAGGCCAUCAGGUCCUAGGACCUCUGACCCUCUGGGUCAAGUCCAUUACCGGACCCCCACCAUUGGAGCUCACUUGCAGGAGGAGACUUCCACAAGUCUCUGAAGCUAUCCCCCCUAUUUCUUGAGGAGGCUUAUUGGUGAGGUCAAUCUAUAAGCGACCAAGGCCACCAGGUCCCAAGACCUCUGACCCUAGGGGUCAAGUCUCCUCCCCAGUUGAGGGGAAGUCCUUGUUUCCUACAUUACUUCUGUU